rnacentral:rRNA from 1 species
UGGGGAAUAUUGGACAAUGGGGGCAACCCUGAUCCAGCAAUGCCGCGUGUGUGAAGAAGGUCUUCGGAUUGUAAAGCACUUUCGACGGGGACGAUGAUGACGGUACCCGUAGAAGAAGCCCCGGCUAACUUCGUGCCAGCAGCCGCGGUAAUACGAAGGGGGCUAGCGUUGCUCGGAAUGACUGGGCGUAAAGAGCGUGUAGGCGGUUUACACAGUCAGAUGUGAAAUCCCCGGGCUUAACCUGGGAGCUGCAUUUGAUACGUGUAGACUAGAGUGUGAGAGAGGGUUGUGGAAUUCCCAGUGUAGAGGUGAAAUUCGUAGAUAUUGGGAAGAACACCGGUGGCGAAGGCGGCAACCUGGCUCAUGACUGACGCUGAGGCGCGAAAGCGUGGGGAGCAAACAGGAUUAGAUACCCUG